rnacentral:rRNA from 1 species
AUUGAACGCUGGCGGCAGGCCUAACACAUGCAAGUCGAACGAGUGGCGGACGGGUGAGUAAUGUCUGGGAAACUGCCUGAUGGAGGGGGAUAACUCCUGGAAACGGUAGCUAAUACCGCAUACCAUCGGAUGUGCCCAGAUGGGAUUAGAUAGUAGGUGGGGUAAAGGCUCACCUAGGCGACGAACCCUAGCUGGUCUGAGAGGAUGUUCAGCCACACGGGAACUGAGACACGGUCCAGACUCCUACGGGAGGCAGCAGUGGGGAAUAUUGCACAAUGGGCGAAAGCCUGAUGCAGCCAUGCCGCGUGUAGGAAGAAGGCCUUCGGGUUGUAAAGUACUUUCAGCGGGGAGGCGUUACCCGCAGAAGAAGCACCGGCGAACUCCGGGCCAGCAGCCGCGGUAAUUC